rnacentral:rRNA from 1 species
CUUUACUGUAACUUGAGACUGAUUUCGGGCUUUAUUUGCGCAGGAUAGGUGGGAGGCGUUGAAGCAUUCCUUGUGGGGAGUGUGGAGCCAACGGUGAGAUACCACUCUGGUGAGGCUAGAAUUCUAACCCAAUGCCGUGACCCGGCUUGGGAACAGUUUCAGGCGGGCAGUUUGACUGGGGCGGUCGCCUCCUAAAAGGUAACGGAGGCGCGCAAAGGUUCUCUCAGGCUGGUUGGAAAUCAGCCGUAGAGUGUAAAGGCAUAAGAGAGCUUGACUGCGAGACGUACAGGUCGAGCAGGGUGGAAACACGGCCUUAGUGAUCCGACGGCGCUGCGUGGAAAGGCCGUCGCUAAACGGAUAAAAGUUA